GUUGGUGUAGCUCAGUGGUAGAGUGCAUGCUUUGUAUGUAUGAUGACCUGGGUUCAAUGAUCCCCAGCUUCUCCC